rnacentral:rRNA from 1 species
UACGAAGGGGGCUAGCGUUGCUCGGAAUCACUGGGCGUAAAGCGCACGUAGGCGGACUUUUAAGUCAGGGGUGAAAUCCUGGAGCUCAACUCCAGAACUGCCUUUGAUACUGGAAGUCUUGAGUUCGAGAGAGGUGAGUGGAACUGCGAGUGUAGAGGUGAAAUUCGUAGAUAUUCGCAAGAACACCAGUGGCGAAGGCGGCUCACUGGCUCGAUACUGACGCUAAAGCGCGAAAGCGUGGGGAGCAAACAGGG